CAGCUGCUUAAACCACAAAAUAAGUAAACAUACAUAGAGAUGCGAGCCUAAAUAAGCACAUAAAUUAGCAGGCCAGACUACCUAUGGUUUCGGAAACCUAUGUAGCCAUUGUGAAAGAGUAGUGUCCCCUCCAGAAACGAAAACCCCCAAGGUAUAGAGUUCCACACCGACCACCUCAACGCGUCCAGUAACCACAGGGAAGAAGAAAGGGUGGUGGCUUGGUAUAUAUAGCUGGAACAGCAUUAAGGCACAGCUACCGAGACGUAACGUGGCAGCAAGAGAAAGGCCGAAGUCAGGUGAGUUGGGGGAGUGUGUUAAAUACCAGCCAUCAGUAACCCUUUAUUGGUUAAUAAUCGGCUGAGGUUAAGUACCAUGAGUUCAAUCAGAGGGAGGGAGGGAGCGUGGCUGCAUAAAGAAAACCUUCACCAGUUACCCAUAAGUUCGAGAACUAAUUAAUAGGUGCCAUGCAGACACGUCUACAACCCUUAAUAGGUUAACCUGGAGGAAAAAAUUGGAACGUACUUGUUUACAAAAAGCAUAAAUCAACGGCUUUCUCACCUACGAAAAAACAAUCAGACCUUCAGGCGCAAAGUAUGAACAGUGCAACGAAGCCAAUUCAACAAUGGUGCGAGACCAUGAACUAAACCCUUGCCCAAAAAUAUGAACUGGACGAGAUACUAAUAGGAACCCUAGCCAAAGGGAAGAAGUGGAUAAUCAAGUGGAUAAUGCAAUAUGUGUCAGGCCAAGUGAUUUCACCUGAAGUAUCAGCGUUGAGCAGCAGCAGUUCCUUUUCCCGCAGUUGCUCCUUCUCUUUCCGCAGUUGCUCCUCCUUUUUCCUCAGUUGCUCCUCCUUUUUCCGCCAGUAAGCGACAUCGGCCUCUGUGACAGCCUUCGUCAGUUGUUCUUCCACAGCAUCGAUCUGUUGCUCUACUUUCCUGAUCUCUUGCUUCACCUCUUCAAAUUCGGCAUCCAUUGUCUUGAAAAGCGCAUGACCCUUUCAGCACGCCUAUGCUGCCUACGUGACCACCUCCUGUAACGUGCAACCUCAGCAGCAAUUCAUUAGAACGCUGUCACACGCAAACGCGAGCAGUGCUCGAAAUGCAUACAAAACUCCGCUCAGCCGAAACAAACCCCGAUAGAGACAACAAACAGAAAGAGUAAAAUCAGCUGCCAAACCACAAUCAAAGCUCAUGGCGCGCACGACAGCCACUUCUAAACUCUCCCGAAUCAUGCCUCACAACUAAUAAUCCAACAACAUAAGUAAUCACCCUGUCAUUCACCAUAAAGACUCGAAAUUUACCGCAGAAACACGAAACACGGAGGGGCGGCUGACCCCGGCCAAGAAAUCAACGACACCCGGAAAAGCAAACCGGCGCUGGAAUUACAAGUGGAAAAGAAACUGGACAACAAUACGAUACCUGUGGAUGACUGAAGAGCUCAACGGAGACAGAAUAACUUACCGGUAGGCGCAAGGCAAGGGUGGUAAGAGAACAGAAGAGAGCGCUCAAGCUGAGGUCAAGCGAUGGAACUGCCCGUCGUGAGAAAGGUUCCCUACCUCUGCCAGGGUCAUUCUUGUCAAUCACGCCCAUCAACGAAGCGACCUAACGAAACGAAACAGCAGACUUGGAAGGAGCAAAAUAAACACUAAACACUAGCGCAUGGAAAAACGGAAACCCUAGCACAAGCAAGAAGAGAAAACCCUAGCCAUCCGAGAGCACGUAAAAGGAGCUGUCGAAAGAAACAGCUCGAUACUUACGAAUCCAGUUAUUCACUCACAGUCACGGAUUCAUAAUAUCUGGCAAAAUUCAGGUGCUGAAGACCAGGACAUAGUAAGUAGUAAAACGCUCUUUUCAUUCUAAUUCUUGUCGAAAUUCACAAUUCUAACGAAUGCUCCUCUCGGGCCAAGCUGAAUACGUACAUGAUGUUCUAGGAACUCAAAUAGCUCACGCAAUACUUGGAAAAGAAACACUGCUACAACGAAUUGAUAUUUGUUACUAGCGUUGCAGAAGCUCAAUUCCAACUGCAUCAGACUCAUAUAAUUCUUACUAAUGGUUACAUGCUCGUGCAAACAAGGGUCGCGAAGCAAAUCGCUGAAAAAACUUCAUGGAAACUCUGCAGAAUCGGCAACACGAAUUACUACCAGCACCUAGCGAGUUCAAACAAUUUCACACUCUCUUUCAGUCCUGAUUCAUCGCAGUACAACCUCACCGUAAUCAAAUGACAAAAAAAUCACAAAUCAAGACACACAUAACGAACGGUCUUCAAUCAACGAUUACAAAAUCUCACAACCUCUCUACAACAGCGUCAUCUCUGGUAGAGCAAACUUGUGCAAGCUCUCUUCCACAACACUGCUUCCCUUCCACUUAAUAUUAACGCAAAAUCCUAAGCAUGAAAAGACUUCUCCUCAGCAUAGCCGCACACAUAUUACCUCUCUAUAAUCCAAUUCAAAGCAGCAAGUCACCUCAUAAACGAACUAGAACUUCACUUACCACAUCGUACGUUGGAUUCAAGAAACACACUCAAAGAGGGGACCAAGAGACUCCGAAGUGCUAAAAAGCCCCAAAAAAGAGCAUUCAGGAGAGAUCCUUGAGCUUCGAUUUUAAUGGCUUCAAGGCAGAGAAAAUUCCAGUCAACAUUCCCUCAAUCCUACGAGCAUGCUCGUAUGAUGCAAUGCAUCAUACGCGCAGUGAGCACAAAACGCAAUGCUAUCUCUCUCACUCAACAGGAACACGAGUGGAAUAGUUUAAUAUCUAGGUGAUACUCCUUUGAUAUUGAUGUGUUAUUGUGCCGAUACUCGGGCUAAUAGAGUGGACAGGGGUAUAUACGACGACAGGCUUCCUGGAGGUUUUGAUGGUUGGAAGAAGGCGCAUGGCGAUCGGAGCAGAGAUCAGAGGGGUGAUAGCAGCCGUGGAUGAUGAGUAGGGGCGUUGGUAGCCGUUCUAUAGCGCGCUGGAGUGUAUGGGGUCCGCGGAGGCGAUGGAAUUCUCUUGCAGCCACUGUCAUUCAUCAUGAUGAAUCGCACAAAUCUCGUUCACACAGCAUCAUUGUUUGAAUGGAUGAUGCUGUGUAAACAUUGUGGUCUACCACGACCCUCAUUUCCAUCUUCCAUAUCACAAGUGGUUUCUAAUUUUAUGUGUUGCUGGAUGUCAUAUGACAAGUACAAAGGAGGUAGGAGAGUGCUAAGAUGUGAAUGAUGAGCGAUGAGCAUUGAGCAAUAAGUAGUAACAUGUGACUAGUGAGCAGUUGUUUGUUGUUGUUGUAGCUUUGGAUGUUUGGAGGCCAAUGGCCAUCAAUUUCUACAAGAAUUUUUAUUUUUUGGAUGAAUUUCGGAAGCAAAUUCUAUUUCAAUAGAAAAUGGUUUAGAAUACCAUAGAAAAGUUUAUACAAGAAUAUGUUAGUGUUAAGGAUAUAUAGUAAUAGAAAAAAAAAAUUCAUAUGGCAAAUCCACAUGUAAAAUCAAAAAGUAUGUAAUGGCUCUAGAAGUCUUACAUCUAUACUCAAGCGAUUGUUCUUUGCGACACAAUAGAUAGGAAUGUUAUUUUCAACAUCAAUGACAACAUUCUCCAAUGAAGGAGCAACCACCAUAGGUGUUGUAUAUUGAAGAGGUAUAAACACAACUUCAAAGAUGAGAUGGUCCUUCUCAAAGGCAACUAGGCGGCAACCAAAACAACAGCAAGAAUAAAUAGAUAUCUUUAGGAUUUAGUAAAAAAAAUUUAGAAUAAAUUUAAAAUAAAAAAUUAAAAGAAAAAAAAAUACAAAAAAGUGAAGAUUUAGAAGUAUAUGUAGAGAUAAUGGUUCCAACAAUAAUAGCACACGACUUGAUAAUGGCCUCUAGAGGAAUUUACAUAAAAAUAAGGUCCUUCUCCUGACUUCUUUUCUAUGGCACAACUUUGUUCAUAACUUGUGUCUCCUUCGCUAUGAAGUUGAAUCAGAUAUCAUCACCCUCAAUAUGAUAUAUAUAUCAUUGGAUAAUUCAUGGUCUUCUUUGAAAGUAAACUAUAGAGAUGGUUCCAUCUUAUGAAGAAGCAAAAAGAUGUGGAAGUGGUAUGUUUGAAGGAGAUAGUAAUGUUAGAAGUAAAAACAACAAAAAGAGUUUAAAUCCAUGGCUAAUUUCAAAAAACAUAAUGAGACAAUAACAUUCAUCAAUGAAGCCAACUAAUCUUUGAAAAUCCAAAACUCGUAUGUUAAAGCAUACAUUUGCACAUCUAUCCAAAUGGCUUGUGAUUCAAGCAUGAAAAAGAAUAUAGGUGCAUUAUAGAAGAAUGCAUAAGCAACUUCAAAAAAGGCCUCCAUGUAAGCCUUAACAUAUCGAUUCUACUUUGAAAUGGUAUAGGAUUAAGAGGAGAUGUUCAGGACUCGCAUUUUUUUUUGGUAGGUCUACAACAAGGAGGUGAAUCCACUAUAGAGGCAUAAUGCAAAAUACAUUUCUAUUCGUUUAUUUGUUCUAACUUGUCAAUACAAAAAAAAAUAAUAAAUAAUAAAAAUAUUAUAAUAUAAUAUAUAUUAUGUAGAAAAUUGCUAAAAAAGAGAAAUAUGUCUUGUUCAUAAAAUUAUACAUUUCAACCAUAAGGGAGUAUAUAAGCCCAACUUCCAUGAACUUGAAUAUAAAAAUGUUCUUAAUCAAAACACUUAUUAGAGUAGCUAUAGAGAAGGAGCUCACACCAACUUGCAAGGUUUAUUUUUUUGCCUAAAUUUGGACUUGAGAAGCUUGCAUAAUUGAGGUACACUGAGUAGAAAAAAUUUCCAUUGCCAUCUUUAUGAUUUAUACUACUAUAAAUGCUAUGUUAGUACUAAUAUGGGUGAUUGCCACUGAAGCACUUUUUUGAGUCUUCGAGGCUUUUGAAGCCUUCAAGGCCUUUAGAAUCUUUAGAGCCUUUAGAGCCUUCAGAUCAAAUAACAAUGCAUUCUACUUUCCAAUUUGAAUGGCUUCUUUUUCAAUAGUAAUCUCAAGAGCCUCCAAAAUAUCAUUAAUACCAUCUUCUAAGAUAAUCGCAGCUCCCUUGCCACUUAGCUAUAGCUUUUUUUUUUCCUCCUCUAUAAUGAAAUCUUUGAAAGGCAUUUCAAAUACCACAGUCCACUCUACAAAUGAGAAAGCAAUGACUUCAUCACUUUUACUAGGAUGUAGAUACAAAGUAGAGACCUUUGUUUAUUAAUGUAGAUAGAUACAUCAAUAAUACUUACAAAAACACAACAUUCUUAGAUACCAACUUUUUACACAAGUAUUUAUACAAGAAAAUGAAUGAAAAUUUGCUAAAAAAUACAUGAAGAAGAUGAAAAAAAAUAAAAAGUCAGAUAUUAACUUGAUGACCACCGUUUGAUGGUCAGACCACCAGUUGGUAUGUCCUCAAGAACGGGAGCUUUGAUAAAAGCACUAUUACUUUAGAAAAAUGAGAUGAAUGCAUAUUUUCAAAGUAUGAUCCUCCACUACUCAAUAUAAUCUCCAAUCUUAAAAUUUUAGAAUAUAAAAUUCUAAUGGAUGUAAUUGAAGUUGAAAAGCAUCUCUUCAAACUCUUGAACUAAUACAUGUUCCAACUACAAGGAUUGUAAAAUAAGUGCAUCAUUAAUCAAAUAGAAAAUAAGAAAAAUAAAAAUAAAAAGAAAGUGAGAAGACUAAUCUAGGCCCAAAAGUUAGUUUGAAUGAGCUAUUAGUCCAAAACUAUUUUUUUCAUAGGUCUAAUAAAGAAACACAAUGAUGAAGGGGCAAAGGUAGAAGAAUUCUACCACUAGAGUCACCUCACUUUGAAAUUAGAAUUCAUGAUAGUAAUUACAAUCUUGUGGAUUUCUUUGAGUCAUAUCAGUCUUUGUCACAAUAUUCCAAUAUUUUGAAAUUUGUACCAAUUUUUUUUUAAUAUUAUAAAGAAGAUAAUAAAGAAUAUUGACAUGAUGGCAUUGCAAAAAAAAUAAUUAAUGUGAGUUAUCAAAUUUACUCAUUAAUUAUUUUAGGAUAAAAAGAUGUAUUUAGAGUACUUUAAACCACAAUAUAUAGUGAGUAGUAUAGAAAUCUUUAGUCAAAUAGAAAAUUAGAAUGUUAGUUGUAAAAAUGGAGUCCUAGUAAGUCUUGGAGAUAAAUAUCUUAGUUGAUUUAAUAUUUUUACUUAUUAUUGAAUAUCAAGGAUUAUUUAUUAAGAUUAAUAUUUAUAUUGGCCUUAUAUCUAUAUGUAGUACUUAUAAAUAAAAUUAUAAAUAUCAGUUAAUAAUUAAAAAAUAACAUGAAAAAAAAAGCUCAUAUCUUUUUAGUUAGUUAUAUAAGAAAUAGGAUUUAUAGUUGAUUUAAAUUGAUUUUAAUAUUAUAAAAAAUAAUAAAGCUAGAAAAAUAUAGCUUUAAAUUUAUAUUUAUAUUAUAGAAAAUUUAUAGGAAUUUUUUUAAUUUAUUUAGAAUUUAUUUUUAAAAUUUAGACUUUGAUAAAAAUAAAUUUUACUACCAUGGGAUCCAUUAUGAAGAAAUGGAAUAAGUUUUGAAGGCCACACAAGGUUUCUAUGCUAAUUGGGUGUUUUUAAACACCAUGGUGGAGUCAAAAAUGCAAAAAUAUUGAUUUUAUUAGUAGAAAAUAGGAGGGCCAGCAGCUAGUAUAGUUCUUGUGAGAAGGUAGGUGCACAAGUUCCAUAUGGAUUGUAGCACCUUGAAGGUAGUUAGGAGGAUAAGACUAUGGCCUUACGGCUUCUCUUAGACACCCAUAUAUACUACUUAUGAGUCUUGGUGAAGUUCAAACUCUUGAUCUCUUAAUCAAGUUAUCCUUGAGGUAAAAAUUAUUUAUUUAAUUUUUUUUUGUUUAUCUUUUAUCUUUAACCUCUUAUAACUUAUUCAUAAUAAUUUGGAUUUACAUGUUUCUUAUACUAUUGAAAAGAUAAUAUAAUUAAAUUUCUAAAAAUAUAUAUAUAUAUUUUUUAUUUUUUUAUUUUUUAUCAAGUAAAAACUUAGUGAAUAGACUUUACUAUUGUUCUAGUAUACAAUUGCUUAAUUGCACUCGUUUCACUUGUUUUUGUGUUAUACUUCUUUUGUUCUUGCUACUUCCACUUUACACCACUAAUUACAAGCAACUCUUAAUUGAGGCCAUCUUAUAAUUUGGAUUGAGGGAUAGAAUUUAUCUUCACAUUUUGGUGCAUUUGCUAGGAGGUGGUGCUUCUAAUUGUGUGUGUAAAUGUGAAGUGAGUUGAUUUUAAUUGACCUUUUGUAUAGAUUAUUUGAGUGAGUAUUUCAAAUCUAUUUUCUAUCAUUGGUAAGUCUUUUAUCUUUCUUCAUUUUUUUUAUAAAAAUAUCUCUUUUAAUUAUAUAAUCAAAAGAUAUUUAAAAGAAAAAAAAAAAAGAAAAAAAAAAAAACCAUGGAUAGGUAGAGAGUGAUUUUCUCUCGGAUUUUCAUCAAUCAGUUUUUAUGUAAUUGUUAUUUCACUUUGGAACUUUGUAAAGUUGUGUAUCUUGGUGUUAUCUUUUUAAAAAGCUACUGCAUGUUUGAAUUGGACUAAAAUUGAAUUUUAAGUGAAUUUUUGAUUAAAAAAGGAUUCACUGCCUUGGCAAUUUUAUAUACUCCAUGUUUGAAAAGGCAUUUCUUAGUGCUUGUUGAAUAUUUUAAAUUGAAUUACUUUGGAGUAAAAAAAUCUGAAGGAUAAACUUGGAAUGGUGCAAUUUUUAUUGAAAUUACGUCAAUAUUCAAUUUUUGGUGAUUUUUGAAGUGAAGAGUAAGCUUGAAAGUUUUAAGGGUUCAUCAUCAAGGGUGGAGCUCAUCUUCAAGGAUCUUCACUAUCUUUCCUUGUAAUUUUUCUAAUUGAGGGUCUUUUUUAGUAAUAGGGAGAUUUAAUCACUCCAUCUAUUCUUGGUAUCAUUUCUUUUCAUCUUUGUAAAUUUUUAAUUGAAGGCUUUUCUCUAGUAAUAGGGAGAUUUAAUCACUCUCUCCACCCUUCAUAUCUCUUCUAUUCACAAGAAGUAGUAUAGUAGGAGCUUAACAAGAAAUUCAAGAAAAUUCUUCAUCAACAAGGAAAGAAAAGAUCAACAAGUUUAAGUCAUAAAUCUAAGGUGAAUAUACUUUUUAACAACUUUUAUUGAGUUUUAAUUUAUUUUGCUAAUAUAGAUUGUGGUUUAAGGAGAAAGAGCUCAAAAAGAAAGAAGAAUGACAUUAAUAGUUUGCAAGCAAGUAAGUCUUUGAAUCCUUGUCAAUUAUUUCUUUUUUUGAAAUUUUAGCAAAUUACUUGAGUAUAAGAAGCUGGAAUUAGAAUUUGGAGGGUAGAAUCUAAGAAAAAGAGGCAAGAAGAGGUUCCCUUUUAAACUUUUUUAUAGAUUUUUUCAAAUGGGAUCAAUAGAGCCUUAGGACCGUUUACUAUUCCAUUCUAAAAAUAGAUUUUCAAACCAUUUAGUUAGAAUCGAAUAGGAAAAAAAUCACAUUAGAAAUUCUUUAAAUUGUGUCAAGUUGGCUACAGAUAUGACGAGCUAAGUCCUUCUUCAAAGUGAUAUAAUUAUUUUACAAAGAACAAUUUUUAUCUAAUAAACAACUGUUGUUAAUUGUUGUAGUGGAUAAUUCUUUAAUAGACUUGUUGUAAAAAAGUAGAAAGAAAAAAGAAGAGUUUGAACUUUCUGCCAUCUUGAUAUGGAAUUCCUUUUGAUAAUUAAGAUUGCUUAGAAUUUUUCAAAAAAUAUGAUAUAAUGUCGGAAACCUGUCAAAAAAAGUAUCAAAAAUAAAUCUUCUUUGGUUGUUCUUCGGUUGUGCAUAAGUACAUUCCACUUUUUCAAUCUUAAGCAUGAGAGGUUUGUUUUAACGAAGCAAAUUCCUUGGUAAUGAUCUGAAUUGUGGAGUUUUGAGACUUCAUCUCCUUGGAGCUAUUUUCUCAAAAAUUACAUGAAACUUGAGAAGAUGGAGCACUAUAGGUGCCUUCAGCCAACAAUGUCGCAUGUAGCCCUACAUAAGAUUCUUGCAAAUAAGAUCUCAUACCCAUAUGAUAGGUCAUCCUUAUUUGCUUCAACAACAUAAUGCCUGAAUCACAAUAUUUCUCACAUCAGUAGCUUUCGAAGUCCAUGUGUAAAUUCAUGUUAGUCAUUCCAUGGAGACAUUUUAAUUUCUUCAAGCAAGUUUUUGCAUUUGGUCUUCUGGAAGUGUCAAUCUACAAGCAAUCCCUUUGCAACUCUCUAACACUAGUUCACAAAUCUUUUAUCCCGCUACUCCUAAUUGUACCAUUAUCAUAAGUUAAAAGAAAAUAACUUGAAGAGGAAUUGUAGAAUAAGUAGUUAUUUUUAGAAUAUAGAUACCUAGUAUAUAGUGUAAACAUGGAUAGAUAACUGUUGAAAGGGUGGUUCAGUAGAUAGAAUAGAUGAAUAGAUAGAAAAAGUAGUUAUCAUCGUAAUAUAGGAGUUGGUAUCUCGGGGUUGUAUGAGGAGGAUGGGAGAGAAGAUGAAAAUACCAGACUGUGAUAGUCAUGAGCCGGGGAUAAGCUUGGUGCUAUCUCUUCCUCUUAGUUUUCUUCUUUCUUUUGUAUUAGUGUUGAUUCUAGUGAAGAGAAUCAAUUUUAUGAAUCAAUGUUUGAUUUAGGAAGUUGUUUAUGGAAGUUUCUAGUCACUAUUUAUUGCAAGGUUGUAAGUUUAGUAGAGAGGAAUUAUAAUUGAAUGAAUUGUCUUUAUCAAAUUCAAUGGAUUGGAAGUUAUUCAUUCUAGGAUUUGGAUUAGGCUUGUAUGUUUGUGAAUUACAUAGGGUACUGAAAUUGAUGUCAUGGUUGUUAUCAUAUUGAUAUGAAAGAGUGGACAGUAGGAAGAAAAUGUAAGUAUUCUUCGGUAUUGUAAGCAUUCAGCAGUAGCGGUUAAUUGUGUGACCCUAACAAUUGGAGCUCAUAUACAUGGUCUUUUCCUGUGUUCGAAUUCCCCUAUAUGGAUUUAUUCUGGUAGCAUCCUUUCAGAAUAAGUAAAAUGAUAAUCACAUUUUGGCGCCGCUGCCGAAGAUUGACAACAUUAUUGGGUGUUAAGAAUUAUUUGCCAAAGCAGUAAAGGAGAUUAGGAAGCAAACUGAAUUAAAAUAAUGAAAGAGUAUGGUUAUUAAGAAUGAGAAUUUAACAACAAAGAGAAUAAAGCAAUCAAAGAAAAGAACAAAGAGAUCACAAGCAAUAAAUUUGUUACAUAGUGAGCGAGAUCACAAGUUGAAAAAAAAGCAUUGAUAAAGUUGGAUUAAGUCGUGGUUGUAUGCCUAUUGGCAUAUUUGAUCAUAUCUAGAAGGCAAUCGACCUCUAAUAUUUCAAAAGUAUACACCAUUAAAGAAAUCACCAAGAGCACUUGUGGGAAGAUCUGCUAAUAGUCCAGCAUACCUCUCGAAGCCGUUAACGGAAAGCAAGGAAGGUACAAAGGAAUUAGGUACUCCAUUGGGUAUUUUUCCAAUUAGAGAUAUGUCCGAUUCUAACAAGAUUGGUUUUGAAGAUUGGCAUGAAUCACUUGUCAAUAGAGACCAAUUCAGAGUAUAUCAAAAUCCAUCGUUUUUACCUCAUAUUCAACCAGUAAAAUUAUUUGGAGAUAAUAAUAGUCAAUCGAGAAGGCUUGGAUGGCUGAAAAAUACUUUUGUGGGAGAAAAUUUUUAUUUUAAUAAGAAAUUGAGCGAAACACCAACAUCUUUAAUGGCAUUCGGAGGUUCAACGAUUCAAAUCGCAGUACAAAUGGGUGCGGCAAGAGAUCACACAACUAGCGUGGCUCUAUUACCUACCUUUAGAGGUUUACCAGGAGCCAAUCCAGAUCAACAUUUAUAACAAUUCUUGACUGCAUGUGUAGCCAAUAAUGGAAGAACUGAAGAUAUUUGGUUAAGAUGGUUGCCAGCAACAUUAAAAGACACACCAUUUGAGUGGUAUAACUGCCAACUUGUCGAAUCAUUUAUCAAUUGGAAGGCAUUGAAAAAUACAUUUUUAGUCCAUUUUCGACCAAUUGGUUUUGAAGAACAUCUUAGAGAAAAAUUAAUGAACAGCAAAAUGGUACCAGGGGAAGCGGUACAGUCAUAUUAUGAUUGUAUAGUAGAUAUACUUCAAAAAUGGCCAAAUAACCAAAUACCGAAAUUAUUUGUGUUGUCCAUAUUGGUUAAUGGACUACAUCCACCAGAAUUGAAGAUGUUUGUAAAAUGGGCCCAAUCAGCCACCAUUGCAUCAUUUCUUGAGCGAACAAAAGUAUGGGAAGAAUGUCACUAUGACCAAAAUUUAACAGUUGAAGCCAUGAUGAUUCCACCUCAAGGAGGUUAUCAAAUGACAAAUUGGAAUGACGCAUCGGAUAGUUAUCAAGGAAGGAAUGAUUAUGGUACAAUUCCAUAAGGAAUAGUGGAUGCCGUUCUAUUGCAGGCUGUACCACCAUCAUUAUCACAUCCGUAUGUGCCUUAUUUUGCAUAUCAAAAAUCAAUACCUACGAAGGAAUUUCCAAAUGCAUUGGUAUUAAGGGAUUCCAAUGAAUCAUUGUUGUUAACAUUGACGAAAAAAAUGGAUGAAUUGGCUAUGAAUCUUAUGAAGGACAAGGAAAAGAGAUAUAAACCAAGCAAUAUGCAUCCCAAUUUCUGGUGGAGUAAUUGUAAGGGGCAAGGUCAUUUAGUAACAGAAUAUCCUUCACCACCUUAAAUGAUUGUAUAUUAUACCUUUUCUGAGGGCAAGCAUAUUACCACCAACUGUUGGAAUUUAUGGAAGCAACAACAACUCAGUAACUAGAUAAUGAUCCAACCGUGGAACGAUAACCAAAUUCAUGGGACGUUAAGCAAAUUCAAAUAGAAAAUAGGUUUGGCUAGAAUGAGAAUCGUUUUAACAAGCCGAAUAGAAAAAAUUUUAAAUUUUAAAAUUUGGUAUACAAUCAAGAAUACGGAACCAAUGCUCAAAGAAUGGUACAAAAUCAAUAAGGAUAUUUCCAAUAUCAAUCCUUUCAGCAAUCAAAUUCGGAUUCCAAAGUACCAACUGGACAACCGGGAUCAUUUUUCCAUUCAACCUAGAACAUGCUGAGCUGGUAUAUCCUGAUAGAUACUCCCAAUAUUCCUGUCGGUGUUUAAAGGAAACCACUUUGAUGUUAAUGUUGAAGACAAAUUGGACAUUAUGCUAGUGAAUGUCCUAAUCUAAAAGCAAGCAAUGACUAUGCUCCCUCGUGUGGAAAUUAUAAGCAAUCAGGACAUACUUAUCAGCAGUGUAAUUCUCCAUUUAAUUUCAAUAAUUAAAACCAACAUAUUCAAUUGCAGAGUAAACUAGAGGAGAAUAAUCGAGAUUUAUUGGUAAACUGGGUGGAAUGCGUACAUACCAUGCUUACAAGGGUCCAAAAAAAAGAAAAAGAUCCAAUUCGACAAUUGGAGGAACCAAUUUCUAAGAGACAAUAAGACUCAAAUCUAAUAACCAUACUUAGAUCGUCAUCAACAUUGAGACCUGAAUAAUCAGAACAGCCCAAUGAUGGUUCUGACACGAGACUAUUGAUCCAACAUGAACCAAUUCUAUUACCCCCAAAAGACAAGGAGCAGCCUUACUCACUGAAAGACCCUCUCAGGGUGAAACAAUAUGAAAUAGCUUGUUCAACUAUUCCGAUGUGUGACUCUAUAAAGCAAGAUAAGCUAUUGACAAGAGUUAAAGUGAAGCCUAUGAAAAAGAAAAGGGCUUUGGGAAUUACUACAAAUAUGGAACUGUAUGAUAUAUUGAAGGAUUUGGAUGAAAUCAAAUCGUCAAUCUCAAUGAAGCAACUAUUAGCGAUUAUGCCAGAAUGUCGUUCUAUGUUGAAUUCUUCAUUAAUACUACGAAGAACUUGGUCUAAAGAAGUUUGGGAAGUCAGCUUAAACCCCGAUCCAGGAGCAUCGAUUAUUGAUGUAUCUAUCAAUGGAGUCUUUAUUUCUAGAGUUCAAGUGGAUCCGGGCUCAAGUGUAAAUUUAAUGACGGUGGAAAUAAUAAAAAAUCUGAGUUUAAUUAAGUUGUUAUCCACAUUAUUUGUAUUAAGAAUGGCUGACUAUAAUCGAGUCAAGCCUAUGGAUAUUCUUUAUAGUAUUGACAUUGCUAUAGCAGAAAUUAUGUAUAAAAUUGAUUAUAUCAUUUUUACAUUAUAAAGUUCCACAUUAUCAUAUCUAAAUUUAUUGGGACGGCCAUGGUUAUACCAAGCUAAAGCUAAAAAUGAUUGGGGCCAUAGAACGUUAACUAUCAGAAAGGGAAGAAAAACGAUUGUUUUGCAAAUGCACCUAGUCCAAUAUCAUAGGGAAUUACAAGUUCUAGACUCGGAAGUGACAUCUGAUGAGGAGGAUCAAUCUAAGGAUAACUAUGAUGAAAUUACUAACUUAAUGCAAGUCGACAAUGAUCCAAAUUGCAUACGUAAGGAAGAAAUAUCCUACCAAUAUUGAGGACUUAAAGAAUAUUUUGUUCAUCAGGAGGAUGCAACUAACUCGGAUCAUACUAUUGCCCAAUGGAUGGACAAUCUUGCAAUCAAUAGAGUCAGCUGAUUGGAACAAGAAUGGGAUAGUUCUUAUAUGUCGGAUAAUAUAAGAUAUUUAGAUCAAGAGAAGAUAAUUAAAUCAGAGGUUGUAGAAGAUCCUGUGUGUCUAUCUAUUAACCUAGGCACCAACAAAAUGCCACAUCUAAUUAAAAUAUAUGCCAGUAUUAUAGUUACAGAAUUAGAUGCUUGAAAACAAUUUUUUGUCCAUCACAAAUUUGCCUUUGUGUGGUCGUAUGUGGAUUUGAAAGGGAUUCGAGUCGACGUGUGUGAGCACUAGAUUAUUUUGGAAGAGGGUGUUAUGCCAGUUUGUCAAAGACAACACCAACUUAACCCAAGAUAUUUUCUUUUAGUGAAAGAAGAAUUGGAUAAACUUCUCGACGUGGAUUUUAUUUAUCCUAUUCCGCAUAGUGCAUGGGUGUCACCAAUCGUGAUAGUACCAAAGAAAAAUGGGAAAAUCAAGAUGUGUCAAGAUUUUGGAAAGUUAAAUGCGGCUACUAAGAAGGAUUAUUUUUCGUUACCGUUUAUAGACAAUAUUUUAGACGCAAUGGCCAGAUAUGAAUGGUACUCAUUUUUGGACGGAUUUUUGGGAUAUAAUCAAAUUAAAAUUGCUUAAGAAGACCUGUUGAAGAUUACGUUUACCACAAAUUGGAGAACAUUUGCCUAUAAAGUAAUGCCAUUUGGAUUAUGUAAUGCCCUAGUUACUUUUCAACAAGUAAUGACACAAGCAUUUCAAGACUACCUAUGUUUAUCAAUGGAGAUAUUUCUAGACGAUUUUUGAUCCUUUAGCACAACGGCUAAACAACUAGCAUGUCUAGAUAACUGUUUGAAUCAAUGCGAUAAAUUUGGGAUAUCUCUAAAUUUGGAGAAGUGUCAAUUUGGCAUACCGUCCGGAAAGCUAUAGGGACACAUUGUCUCUAUUGAAGGUAUCGCUAUGGACCCCGAUAAAGUUAUUAGUAUAUUGGGUUAACCAAAGCCAGAUACGGUAUUAGGCAUACACAAUUUCAUCGGUCAUGUUAGCUACUAUCGGCAUUUUAUUGAAUCUUUUGCAAUUAUCUGUCAACCAUUAAUUAACUUGUUAAAGAAACCCCCACCAAACGGAUCUAGCUCAAUAUGGACUAAAGACUAUACUUUUGCAUUUGACAAAUUGAAACAAAAAUUAGUAUCUGUUCCAAUUCUUGUAACACGUUGUUGGACAAAAUCGUUUCAUGUCUAUAUGGAUGCGUCCAAGGUUGCUAUUGGAUCCAUUCACAGAUAAAAUGAUGAAAAAGAAUUAGAUCAUCUCAUAUAUUAUGCGAGCCAACAAUUCGUUGCUGCAGAAUGAAAUUAUAAUACUACCGAGCGAAAAGCCCUCGGAAUGAUCUACUCUGUACAAAAAAUCUGCCACUAUCUACUUGGAUACCCAUUUGUGUUCCACGUUGAUCAUGAUGCACUUAAAUACAUGAUAAAUAAACCUCAAUUGAGCAGAUGAUUUGCUUGACGGUGUUACUUCUGUAGGAAUUCAACUUUACGAUUAACGUUCGAUCCGGCAAAAAAUAUGCCAAUGAAGAUCAUUUAUCCCAUUUAUCUAAUAUAUGGGGUAAUGAGCCAAUAAACAAUGUUUUUUUGGACGCACAACUAUUUGCUGUGGAUGUCAUUACACACAAAUAUGGUGAAUCGAUCCAAUAUCUAAUGUUUUAGACUUUUGUAAUUUCUUAUAAUGAAAAAUUAAAGAAGCGUCAGAUUUUAAAAAGUGCGCCAUAUACCAUGAUUGCAGAUGCCUUGUACAAACAAGGGCGGGAUGGAAUUUUAUGCUGUUGCAUCUUUCAAAGUGAAGUUCGUACAAUUUUGGAAGGCUGUCAUUUGGACAGUUGUGGAGGACAUUUUGCGGGUGAUAGCACCACACGUAAGGCUUUAAUGGCUGGGUAUUGGUGGCCAACAAUGUUUUCGGAUGCACACCAAUAUGUUCGUCGUUGUGAUCCUUGUCAACGAAUUUGUUUGCCCUACUAUAACUUCUGCAAUGCCAUUGGUACCAAUUUUGGCACAAGCACCAUUUGAAAAAUGGGGUAUUGACUUUGUAGGACCCAUUGUACAUGCCUCUCAAAAUGGACAUAAACGUUAUAUUCUAAUAGCCACCAAUUAUGUCACCAAAUGGGCAAAGGCCAUGACAAGGAAAACUGAUAAUGCCAAUACAGUAGCAACAUUUUUAUAUGAGAACAUUAUCACUGAUUUUGGCUGUCUGAAAGAAUUGGUUAAUGAUCGCGGAAUACAUUUUAUUAAUACAAUAAUUGAAACAUUAAUAGCGAAGUAUGAGAUCAAACAUUCCAAAAUUACACCUUAUCAUCCACAAGCCAAUGGGUACAUAGAAAAGACCAAUGAUAUCCAAUUUAAGAUCUUAACAAAGACUAUUUCAAGAGCAAAAAACAAUUGGGAUACUAAAUUGUUUGCAACUUUAUGGGCAUACCGUAUUGCAUAUAAAGUAACUAUCAAUUCUACCCCAUUUCAAUUGAAAUACGAUCAGGAGGUAAUUCUACCAAUUGAAUUGGAGGUCCAAAGUUUACAAAUUGUAUUAGAUGAACGUAUGGGAGACAAAGAAUCUCUUCAAUAUAUGUUAGUCAAAUUGGAGAAAUUGGAUGAAGCUAGGGCUAUGGCUCUCUUGAUCAUGGAAGCUACACAACGUUGUAGAAAGAGUUAUUACAACAGUAUGUUACAGUCAAAAUAUUUUAUGCCCAAUGAUUUGGUGCUACUUUAUGAUAGCCGCUUUAACAACUUUUUCGAUAAAUUUCAAGUAUAAUUGCAUGGGCCAUAUUGGGUGGUGGAAGGUUUUGUUAAUGCUUCAAUUUAAUUGAAAGAUUUUCUGUGAAUCCACUUUACAACACGCAUUAACGAGAACUAGUUACGCAUGAAUGGGAAUCGAUAAGAUUGAAAAGGUUGUGAUAGUUAGGAAACGAUUGAUGGUUAGUUUUGGGUACUGAAAUUGACUAGUCAAGAAAUUAGACAUUCUUGUUAGACGUGAGAUUAAGAUAUUCUAGAUUAGAUAUUCUUGAUUUGAAUCCCGAGUAAGCAGUUAGGAGCGAGGCACUCAUAGAAGGUAUCAUUGUUGCAAAUUUUAGACAUUGUGCUUUGAAUUGUAAGCUUUACGACAGUAAUCAGCAAUAGUGUUAGCGUGAAGAAGUAUUGAGAGUUUGAUUUUCACAAUGUUGAUAGAAAGAGCAAAGAGAGUACCGAAAUGAUCAAAAAGUCACUGCAAUGUGAGGUCUAAGUGCGAUUUGGGAUCACGGUCUCUUGUAGUUAUCACCAACAUGUAACCGAUGAAGUUAGAUAUCUGUUGGUCAUUGAAAAGGCAAAAAGAUUUUAGAAAUACAUAGUUAUUUACGUUUUUACAAAGAUCGAAUAAACUACCACCAAUUAAUGUAAAACGAGUGGCGAAAUAUAUAGAGAAUUAUGAUCUAGAGGAUGGUUUGAGUGUGGUAAGAGGAGUCUUGAUUGGAAUAGAUGAGAAUAUCUUACACAAGGUCUUACAUUUACCAACCGGAGAGCUUGAUGUAGGAGGAGAUGCAUCAAAUGACUUCAGGCGAGGAAGCUACUUCAAAGGAGGAAUGUCGUCUCUCGAGUGAAAUCAAGGAUGGAAGGUACAGGAGGCACUUCUGUCCAAACUUAUGGAAUGGAUGCGGUUUGUUCAGAAGCAGUUAGCAUUGAAUUAGCAUACCACCUACAUGGUGAAGCGAUUAUUAUUUUUCAUGAUAGGAACACUGAAAGGCAUGGUAUUCAAUUGGGCAGCUUCUGUGGCCACAACGAUACAUGCAAAAAUGAGAGGUAAUGGGAAGACGGAGAAUUUUGCUUCACUAUUACGUUCAAAUUAUGUAAACUCAGUACUUGAGUAUACAUUGAAAUAAGAAUCUCAACCAAUUAGAGAUGACAAUAGAGAUGACGACACCAAUACCAAUUCCAAGGGAAAGCAACCAAUUAGGGUUUCCACAGGGUAUAACGGAAAGAUGAAAUCUUAAAAAAGUUAUAUUGAAUCAAAUUUCCUAGCUGCAACUUACGGUGAAUAAGCUCAAAGAUGAGGAUAGCUUAAAAAGGCAAGUAGAAGCGAGCAAGAAAAUAAUAUUGGAGCAAAAUUACAAAAUCAAGGAACAAGAACAAGUCAUCAAGGUAGAAUCAGAAUCCAAGAUGCGAGUGAAGCGUGAAUUGGAUAAGAGAGUGGAAAACUAGUCAAAGGAGAAACAAAGGAUUCAACAUAUCCUAAAAAAUCAAAGGCAAGAAUUACUACAAACUCGCAAAUCAUAUAAAUUGGAACAAGACAAGAUGAACGCUAAGUUGAAGAUGGAAUGAGAGAAGAAGGAGGCAUUGGAGCUUAAAAAGAAACAAUUGGGUGUCGAAUAUCGAAACAAAAUAGAUGAGCUACAGGCAAAAAUUAUUGUUUUGAAGGAAAUAGUAACAAAAUUGGAGAGUGAUUUGGUCAAAAUUGGUUAGCCACAGAUAUUUGCCUCAACGAGAAUAAAAAUUGAAAAAUUGGAGGAGAAAUUGCAAAAGCAACAACAAUAAUUGCAAGUUCAUGUUCGAGAAUUGGGAGCGUAUAAUGAAGAUUUAACAGCUCAAUUAAAGGUAGAGAUUUAGGAUGAGUCGUCGAAAGAAGAUAUAGUGUUGAAACAAGACCAAAUGGAGCCAACGCCAGGAAUUGAAAAGAUUAAACAAUCCACUUACAAAAAGAAGAAAAAAAAAAAAAAAAAAAAAAAAAUUGUUUAUCAAUAUUGUAUUUGCAUGGACCCUAUACAAUUAGAAGUCAGGCUAUAUAGAAUAAGUAGUUAUUUUUAGGAUGUAGAUACAUAAUGUAUAGUGUAAACAGGGUUAGAUAACUACUGAAAAGGUGGUUCAAUAGGUAGAAUGGAUGAAUAGUCAGGAAAAAUAGUUAUCAUCGGUAGUAUAGGAGUUGAUAUCUUGGGGUAGUAUAAGGAGGAUGGGAGAGAAGAUGAAAAUUCCAGAUUGUGAUAGUUAUUAGCCAAGAAUAAGCUUGGUGCUAUCUCUUCUUCUUAGUUUUCUUGUUUCUUUGGUGUUAGUGUUGAUUCUUGUGAAGAUAAUCGAUUUAAUGAAUCAAUGUUUGAUUUAGGAAGUUUUUUAUAGAAGUUUCCAGUCACUGUUUAUCGCAAGGUUGUAAGUUCAGUGGAGAGGAAUUAUAAUUGAAGGAAUUGUCUUCAUCAAAUUCAGUGGAUUAGAAGUUGUUCGUUCCAAGAUUUGGGUUAUGCUUGUGUGUUUGUAAAUUACACAGGGUAUUGAAAUUGAUGUCGAGGUUGUUAUCAUAUUAAUAUGAGAGAGUAAACAAUAGGAGGAAAAGUUAAGUGUUCUUCAACAUUGUAAGCAUUCAGUUGUAGCGGUUAAUUGUGUGACCCUAACAAUUGGAACUCAUAUACAUGGUCUUUUCCUGUGUUCAAAUUCCCCUAUAUGAAUUUAUUCUGGUAGGUUUCUUUCAAAAUAAGUAAAACGAUAAUCACAAAAACUCAUGCAUUUUAACAUAGAAGAGAGCAAAUCCAUUGAAACUCCAUUUGAUGUGAAUUCCAAGUUGUUGAAGCUUUUUGAGAAAAAGUAUGAAGAGAUUCAAGAAGAAAUGGAAGGCAUUCCAUACAAGACAACAAUAGAAUCAUUCAUGUAUGCAAUGGUGGAUAUAAGGGCAAAUCUUGCAUUUUUGAUGGAUGUGCUAAGCCAAUUCAUAUCUAGAGCAAGUCCCUUUCAUUGGAUGGUUGAAAUGCAUCAUGAAAUAUUUGAAGGAUACUUUAGACUUCAAUUUGUAUUUAGAGGCAAAGACAUCAUAUUGAAGGGUUUUAGUCAUGUGGAUAAAGUGGGGAGUAGAAUGAUCUCUCUCACUCCGAGCAUUGUAUGCAUACUCUAUCUAUUGCAUGUACUUAUGCAUCUUGUUUGUACUCCUAUUGUACUUCAACAACUUUUGCACCAAGAGGUAGGCUGCAACGCACUAACUACCAUGCAGUCAAAAAAUCUUCUUAGAUUUCACACGGAUAUGUCACAAAUCAAGCUAUUUCAAACAAUGAAGGCAAAUAUCUACAGUAUUAUGGAUGAAAACAUUUACAUCAACUGUAGAAGCACAAUAAUCACUUAUUAGUAGAUUAGUUUAGUAUGUCCAUACUUCAGCUACUAGAUACAUUUUUCUAAUACCCAUGGCAUGCAACGAAGUUAUGGAGUGUACCUUUACACCACUACACCACCUCUACACCACUAUAAAUAACUCACUUGGCAAGUGGGAUGCCAUGUAGGUUCGGUGGUUACCACCUUUCUGUGGUUGAAACCCUCGUUUACAAGCCACCACGAGCUCCUGUCUACCUCCUGGUAGGAAGGGGGCGUAUGCUUCGGAGGACUCUUACGUCCAAUGCGUUAUUGGACCAGUGAACUGUUAGUAGCUGCAGUGACAUAAACAUAUUGACGCACGUAUCGACGUCAUAUUCAGCAUAGUUUACAACAAGAAGUUCAUUACUGCGUUGGGUUUAUUACUUGCCAGAAUUUCAGAUUCGUUUUUCAACUUGCUUUGCAGUACGAGGUUCUGGACCCUUGUUUUCACAGAAUUAAGUCGACACCUUCUGGAACAUCCACUUUGUUUACUUCGUUUUGACAGACUUCCCAACAUUGACAAAUUGUAGAUGAAGUUAUCGACAUUAAAGUGUCGAAAAAUUAGUUCGACAUUGAUUUAGUCACUUGUGUGUCUAAACAAUUGUCGAAACCGAAGCAAGCGAAAUCCUUCCAAAUUUCUACAGUCAUAUGUCAGAGAAUUUCCCAAAAAAUAUAAUAAAAUGUCGGAAACCUGCCAAAAAAGGUGUCAAAAACAAACCCUCUUCGGUUGUUCUUCGGUUCUGCGUGGGCACAUCCCACUUUUCCAAUCUGAAGCACAAGCACGAGAGGUUUGUUUUAACGAAGCAAUUCCCUUGGUAAUGAUCAGAAUUGCGGAGUUUUCAGACUUCAUCCCCCCUGGAGCUAUUUUCUCAAAAGUUGCAUGAAACUUGAGAAGAUGGAGCACUAUAGGCGCCUUCAGCCAACAAUGCCGGAUGCGGCUCUACGUAGGAUUCUUGCAAAUAAGAUCUCAUUCCCACAUGAUAGGUCAUCCUUAUCUGCUUCAACAACAUAAUGCCAGAAUCACAGUAUCCCUCACAUCAGGUUCAACAGCUUUCGAAGUCCAUGUGUAAGUUCAUGUUAGUCAUUCUACGGAGACAUUUUAAUCUCUCCAAGCAAGUUUCUGCAUUUGGUCUUCUGGAAGCGUCAGUCUGCAAGCAAUCCCUUUGCAACUCUCGAACACCCGCUGACAAACCAUUUAUCCCGCUACUCCUGAUCAAAUGCCCAAUGCCCCAUAUGUCUACACUCGAGUCAUGACGACCUCUGCUCAUCUCAGGGGCGUGAGCUUCAACACACAGUCCGUGAGCGUGACCACAGGGAGUAGCAGCAGUCUCAUCAAAAUCAAUUAAAACCCAGUUGGUACCUGAAGUGUUUCUGAGAACAUUCCGCCAAGUUAUAUCUCGAUGCAUUAGAUUUUUUCCAUGCAACCAGACCAGUGCUUCUGCAACAUUGAUCAAUGCUUUCAAAAGUUCAUCUUCAGGUCUCGCCCGGCUUUUCACAAGACACCGGGGUAUCAUUCGGAAUCUACGAUCGGCUGCAUUAAUUUUCAGCACCUGCUCUGCAUUGGGGCAAUCCUUGAUGCUCUUAUAUAUUUGGUACACCUUCUCAAAGGUACGCUUAUCUCUGUAGAUCUUGUCAACACCAGUCCCCACGAAAACAGUUUUUCCGUCAGUGCGAUAAUCGUAAAAGUCAGACUCAACUCCCAGCACGAUUCCAGCUUCAGACAGGCGCAUUAGCAGCUUGCUGAUGUUGAAGCCUAUCAACGAUGCCAGCAACCUGUCCUCUACAACAGAUAGAUUGACAGUGAUCAAAUCCACCACCUCAGUCUUACAUCGCUUAGCAUCAUGCACUAGUGCACAGUAAGUAACGAUCGCUGCGUUGGCAUAAUAACACAGGAGAUAGGGCAGGUUUCCAUACGUCCAGAUCAGCUUCCUGACCAAUUCUUGUUUGGGAUCAUCUUCAGUAUCUGGCCCCUUCUCCUCGCCACGCCAAAGUGCGAGUCUGGAAACCAUCCCAAGUUUGUCUGGGCGCUUGUUCUCGGAUGAACUAAACCUUGAGGUGUCUCUAUCAAAGACAAGUGUUUCCAAAGAGAACAGGGAUAUUGGCUCAGUAACAAGACAAUCCCAAUAAGCAUGAUAAGAACUUUCUGUAGAGCCUGUAGCUGGAGGCCUUAACACAAUCCCAAGGUGGUCAUCCAAAUUCCAGCAAACGCCUCGUGCAGGGUCAUGACAAAUAAAGUUGUCUGCUUUACUCAGAUAGCUCUUCCACUGAAAGUAGCGUCGGUGAGAAACCGGAAAUGCCAUACGUGGCGGAUGCAGCAAGUAACCUUUCAGUUCAGUGACCUCCGGAAUCCUGACGUCCACUCUUGCUUCUACUAAUAACCUCCGGAAAGGGUCCAGUGCAUCCUGUUGAGCAGCUGCUUAAACCACAAAAUAAGUAAACAUACAUAGAGAUGCGAGCCUAAAUAAGCACAUAAAUUAGCAGGCCAGACUACCUAUGGUUUCGGAAACCUAUGUAGCCAUUGUGAAAGAGUAGUGUCCCCUCCAGAAACGAAAACCCCCAAGGUAUAGAGUUCCACACCGACCACCUCAACGCGUCCAGUAACCACAGGGAAGAAGAAAGGGUGGUGGCUUGGUAUAUAUAGCUGGAACAGCAUUAAGGCACAGCUACCGAGACGUAACGUGGCAGCAAGAGAAAGGCCGAAGUCAGGUGAGUUGGGGGAGUGUGUUAAAUACCAGCCAUCAGUAACCCUUUAUCGGUUAAUAAUCGGCUGAGGUUAAGUACCAUGAGUUCAAACAGAGGGAGGGAGGGAGCGUGGCUGCAUAAAGAAAACCUUCACCAGUUACCCAUAAGUUCGAGAACUAAUUAAUAGGUGCCAUGCAGACACGUCUACAACCCUUAAUAGGUUAACCUGGAGGAAAAAAUUGGAACGUACUUGUUUACAAAAAGCAUAAAUCAACGGCUUCCUCAACUGUGAUAAAACAAUCAGACCUUCAGGCGCAAAGUAUGAACAGUGCAACGCAGCCAAUUCAACAAUGGUGCAAGACCAUCCAAUACAAGCACGUGUCUCUGAAUGACAAACAUCGAAUAAAAUUGGAAUGUGUACUUCCCUGUGUACUUGCAUAACCUACAUGACCAAGAAGUACCAGAAGAAGAAGAGGACAAGGGGGUGGGGAAAAAUAAAUGCAGGCAUUGAGCAAAAACUAGAGAGCCCUAGAGAGCGAAUCAGUAAGACCAAGAACAACAUUUCUUACCCAAUGAGUUUCAAUAGAUCCACAAGGUUCAGAAACCUUGAAAACAACAGACCUUAUCAGACGUGGAAUAAAGCAUCGAACAAGCCAUCACAAGAAAACCUAAUUGUUCUGCUGAAAAAAAAAAACAUACCAGGAGCAGGAGCUUGUAAGAAUGCAUACUUCAGGGCUUAAG
rnacentral:lncRNA from 1 species